AAUUGAGAAUCUGAUGGGUGUCAAUAAAUUGGGGACUGGAUGAACAAGUUAUGGUGUACAAAUGUGACAGAAUACUAUUGCGCUGAACUCUUACCAUCAUAACGACCAAUCAGAAUUCCAGGCAACUAAUGAAGAAACACACUACUCACCUCCUGAGAGACACAAGAGAUGGCUCUGCCUCUGCCUGAAGACCUCCCGUGACAACAAAGCCGCUCUUUCAUGAAGCCACGGGAACUGCUGGCACUGCUGGAGAGCUGUCGAUGUCAGGAGGCUUCUCCUGAGGCACCAAGACAGGCACCAAGGACCACAGUGGUGAGAUCUUUCUUGGACCUGUGGCUGCUAAGAAGGCACAAGUUGCAGUCCCUAUAGACAAGAUGGGAAGAUCACCUCUCUCUGAGAUUUGUUCCUUUGGAGGACAGCCAUAGGACAGGCUGGAAGCAGGACUAGUGGUCCAGUGAAUAUUAAAAGAACAUAUGGAAGACCUCGAGGGGGCUGGGUGGCUCCUUUGUAGUGGGUUUUUGCCAAGACACGAACAAGCAUCAAUCAAAUAAAAAUCAUGGAGUGGUUGUAAUCUGUAUGCACAGCUAUGAAUCAUCCACUGAGGUGUACUGUGGGCAAUUAAAAUAUGCAUGCAUAUAGUCAGAAUAAACAUUAACUCCUUGGAAAAUGUAGUUAUUGCCUAGGCAGUAUGGUGCACUGAGAUGAGUACAGGACAAGAAGAAGACAGGAGGCCUGAAUCCUCAUCUUGGUUCUGUCCUGAAUCUCUGUGAGACACUUAGCCAAUUAUUCUCCCCUCUUUGGACCUUAGUUUUCUGGUCUGUAAAAUGAAGGGGUUGGACUUGAUUGUCGAUAAGGUCCUAACAAGCAUUGGUAUUCAAAAUGCCAAGUUUGACUUUACUCUUAGUUCUGAGGAUGAACUAAUAACAAGGAAAUAUAGCCAAGCACCUUUUUCUCUAGCAUAGAAGUAAAUGACUUUCUGAGGAUAUUCUCUGCUAAUUACAUCCUCCCAAGGAGUCUGGAGGACUUUUAUAAGAAGUGAAUGUUGGGGUCAAUGACAUGUAUUUCAAACUCCCUGGCAAAAUGACUCCCAGCCUAAUAGGUCAGCUCAUAAGAUGUAGAACUGGUAGAAACAGUUUAGUGCAACAGAAAAGGCAGCCCCAAGGUGACAUCUUCCUUGGCAAGGAUGUGCAGCCGCUGGGUCCUUUUCCACUAUAGGGCCAAGGAACCUGAACACCUCCUUAGCUCAAAAGCUGGAAGCAUCUUCUAAAGUUUGUUCUGCAACCUGGUGAGGCAGGACUAUGUUAACAGCAUGGAUGAGGAAGAAAUUUGAAUGGGUGUUAGUCAAUGAAUUCAGAAUCUUCUAGAUAUUGCAAGACAAUGCUUUUUCUUGCAGAAAAGAUUACAACUGUCUGUUUAGAAGCCAGAGCAAGUUA